UCCCUGGUAGUCUUGUGGUUAGGAUUUGGCACUUUCGCUGCUGCAACCUGGGUUCGAUUCCUGGUCUGGGAA
rfam:Sus scrofa chromosome 15.